rnacentral:rRNA from 1 species
AACGAACGCUGGCGGCGCGUUUUAAGCAUGCAAGUCGAACGGUAGAGGGAGCUUGCUCCCUUGAGAGUGGCGAACGGGUGAGUAACACGUAGGUGAUCUACCCUGGGGUUGGGGAUAGCCUGUGGAAACACAGGGUAAUACCGGAUACGCCGAUUAGUCAAAUUUUUGAUGUAUCGGGAAAGACGCUAAGGCGUCGACCUGGGAUGAGCCUGCGGCUCAUUAGCUAGUUGGUGGGGUAAAGGCCUACCAAGGCGACGAUGGGUAGCCGGCCUGAGAGGGUGUACGGCCACACUGGGACUGAGAGACGGCCCAGACUCCUACGGGAGGCAG